AGUCUCGCGCCGACCGCCGUAGGUAGCGCUUCGUCCGUAUUGGCGUGACUGACGCCUGGCCAACUGCCUCGCGGCGCGCGGGCCUCACCAACAAGUUGUACGGCCCAGAGGCACGUAAGAAUACGAUGUGCAAACCAACUCCGUGACUCCUCGCAAUUCGUAUGCUAGAAUUUUGUUGUUGUCACUGCAGGCGAUGUCUAAGGGGCUAACACGGACCUUGAAAUUUACCCUCGUCAGAGGAGAGGCGCUACUCGCAAAGCUGACCACUAUGUGAGAUACUCGCAGAGCAGUUCUACUGGCUACCAAGUCUCUGAUAUUCGCCCUGACCCCUAGACCUGCUGGAUUUUCGAACACCAGAGCACAGUCAUCCGCUGAUGCCAGAUGAGGGCGCCGGGUCCCAAUGGAUGAGGAGUCCAUUCUGGUAGGCGCCUGCGUCGCGGUCGUCACUCUCACCGUCGUGGUGCUGGUCGCCUGUUACGCCCGGGUGCUGACCCAGCUCUGCUGCACCAACAGCAGGAUCACCCCAUAGGAGUGUGCUGAGCUGCUGUCCACCAGCAUGUUAACCGAAGGCCUGGGAGCGGCUGCGGUGCUGGCCCUGGCUUUGGGCCUCCUUUUGGUGUCGGCACUGGUAGUGUGCUACGCCUGCGUCCUGCGCCAGCUGUGCUGCCGGGCCGCCGCUGAUGGCAAGCUGUGGCCCAGGGGCUGUGGGCGGGGGCGGUGGAGGUCCCGCGUUGCUGGCAGUGGGGGCGGUGCCGGGGGCGGAGGCAGCACUGCGGGGGCGGAGGACAGCAGCCGCGUCCAGCAGGCGCCCACCGAGGAGCACGAACUGCCCCUCGCAGACAUCUAUGCGAGUGUCUUCAGCAGCCGAGGUGCAUCACCCGCCAUGGGGUCGGCGUCUGCCAGGGCUUCAGGGUCCACUGGUGAUGUCGUGGCGAUUACAUCCUCUACGUGACACUCACCAUCAAGAUGCUAAGGCCAUACUAAGAGCGCGUCCUCCACAUGAACAGGCUUUAUUUGGAAACAAUACUACUACUGUGCCGCCAUUCUGCUUUUGCCAUGAACAUGAUAUCACCAAAACAACUGUCAAUGGAUGAUCCAGCAAAUCUGGGUAAUGAUCGAGCCAAGUGUCGAGAGUUUCUGGCAGAACAUGCAUGUUGUGACAGGUUCAGAUCAGUUGUGUUAAAAGGCCAAUGUGAGAUCUUUUGUUAUGCUGUUAUUGUGUUUUUGCUGUCCACAUGAUACUAUCCAACAACUCAGUGGAUCAUCCAAUGAAUUUGGGUGGAGAUUGAACCAAGUUGGGUCUUUUGUAAGAAAGUGGUUUCAUACCCGUGUUAAUGAAAUGAUUCUAUUCAGUAGACUGCAGACUGACCUUUCCUAAGCAGCUGUAGCAUAUAGCCCAAGUCGAAGUUAAAUGUACAUGUGUCUCAAAUACAACAUUCCAUUGUGACCUUCAGUUUAAUUACUUAUUGGGGACGGAAGUGCUCCGAAGCUACUACUCAAAUAACUGUUAAGUGAGUGCCCAUUGUAUGUAUACUACGCUAUCUAGCUUUUACAAAGUACAUCAUUGCUCUGUUUUUGGUGCCUUCCCAUUGGUGGUUCUGCAGUGAUUCUACCAAACUGUUUCCAGACUUACAAAUUAUAUACAUCAGCAACACUUUGGAUUGCUGCAAUGGACUUGUGAAGUUUCGGAAAACAAUAUAUGCUUCUGGUAACUACAGUUACUGAUCACUGAUACAACUCCACUAUCAGUUACUAAUCAUUGUUCUAACACCAAUGAACAUAUUACAUCAGCUAUUUCACCAAAUGAUUCAGCGUACUUGAAUGCAUUUGCUGCAAAAAGUGUAUGCAUUACAAAACACAACGACCUUCUAUUCUGAUGUGUUCUGUUAGUACCAAAACACCAUCAACCGUUGAUCCACUGUUAUGUGUCAGACAGUGUUAUGUUUCGAACCUUUGAAAUGUAUAUCGUUCUUAUCUUUAAAAUGUAUGUAGUUCUUCUCGUCUGUCUGUUGGGGAUCAACUGUUUUGAAAGCUCCCAAAUAAACUGCAGGGCUAUAACAUUUAAUUAUGCAUAAUAAGAGACAAACAACAAAAGUAAAAACUAAAUGCGACGUUCUCUUGAAUUGUUCAGUUUUGCUUCCAACAACUAGUGCAGUAAGCACCAACCCGAGGAUGCAGGUGGAUUCGCUACAGACUAAUCCAAGUACCGUGAAUUUUGCAAUAGCAUCGCUCUUCAAUUCAACUAGAUUCCGCUGUGAUGUGUUUCCACACAACAUACAGCACACCACAACAUUCAAUAACAUCUCAAAACAACCAGAAGACUAUGUUGAAAAUUUAGAGCGUACAUCAUUCUUGUGAUGGGAACAAUUUUGUUCCCAAUUUUUGUCCAGUCGAUUUGAAAUGAUAUGCAAACGAGUUUCAGUUGAAGAUACAGAUCACGUCAGAUGCUGAGACUAACAAUGCAGUGUACUUCCGUUCUGACAGAAUUAGAACAACGACGCGGAACUAAUGACGUUCAGAAGCGUACGAACCCAUUUUUAGGACAGAAGCACGUGUGAAAUAUAAAAUGUAAACAAAACAGACCUUCUGCUGCCACUUUCACUUCCAAUAAACAUUUUUUAAUUAAUUCCACUCAAUGUAAUGGAGAGCUGAAGAUGGUUUCAACUCAUCGUGGUGGCAGUCAUGCUAAUGAUUCCGAAAUGUGACUACAAGCAUUUCGUCACAUUAGAUCAGCCUGACUAUCCGAAAUCAAUCUUCCUAUACGGCUCAUCUUCUACGUGACAUUUAAAACUGAUUAACGCCUGCCGUCGUGGAAUUUUGCAGUCUGUAUCGUGCGCAACCCUCACUCUGAAGCCACGAUGUUUCCAGGUGGCGUAGUUACUCUUAUCUAUGGUUACGUGGGCGCUCGCGCCAUUAUCAAGCAUAGCGAAGACAGUGACGAGUGCCGUAGAAUGUUUUAACUCUACGCUCAUCCAGUGAUGUAAAAUGUCUUCAUUUACCGUACUCUCUGACUGCUCUCUGCACGACAUUACGGAAGACAAUGAUGCACUGAAAAUGUGUAUACAUGGUCCCUCACCAACACGAGAGCAGAGCUAUUGACGGGUAAAUAAUUCCGCAAGGGGAACAUCCUCCCAGUUUAUUUUUGCAUUAUUCGUGGUUAUUAACAAAAUUGCUGUCCUUACAGCAUUUUAUGCCAUUCUAUAGCAACCCUGACCGCUCCGCUAACUACAAUCCAUAGUGGUUUACUCACAUUUCUAGUUUGUUGUGAUGCCAUUCAGAAGAAUGCAUUUUCUGCAAAAAAAAUCCUGUAAUAAGUUUCUCAAUGUAUUUAUAAUGUGCAGCGUCAUGAAACAUAAUUAAGAAAUGAAACUAUUUCUACAGUUUUGCGAGACAGAGAGAAAUCUUAAAGUUACAUAAACUGCAUCAUUUUAACAUUUACGUGCAUGAUUACUACGUAUUGUUACAAUGAACAAGGACAAACCAAAACUUGCUGUUUCGUAUAACUUGCACAUAUGUGAACGCCUACCCAGGUGUCAUUACCAAUCAACGAAAAUUCUUGCCUUAAAUUUAACGGCAGAUGUUCACGAAAAGAAAAUAUAGACUCACUAAUGGACAUAGAAAACACUGACUACAAAAGUAUUACAAACAAAUGAUCAACUUACGUGGAUCUGGAGAAUAUCAAAAUCGUUGGAAAUGGUAUUCGUGAGAAGGAGAGAACAGCGUGGAGAAUUGGUUUCACAGUAACGUCCCAGCAAUAUGUCGAAUGUACCGAACUCCUACAUUGUAUUAACCAACUACAACUAGAACUUACCUUAAUCCUAUGUGCUAUAGUACAAGUUAGCUUACAAGACUGUAAAGUGUGUGCAAGGUAAAGUUCAAAAUAUUUGCAGCUUCACAGAUGGUUUGUACAUACAAUUUAAUUUAUUAAGCCUCCGGCUUUGUGAAAACUAUAUAUUAAAUAGACUGCUUUAUUAAUAAAAGACUAUGUCUUUCAUUA